GGAGGGAUGGCCGAGCGGUCGAAGGCGGCAGUCUUGAAAAUUGCUAGACCUCGCAAGGGGUCUCAUGGGUUCGAAUCCCAUUCCCUCCG
rnacentral:tRNA from 2 species